GAUGAACGCUGGCGGCGUGCCUAAUACAUGCAAGUCGAGCGAACAGACGAGGAGCUUGCUCCGCUGACGUUAGCGGCGGACGGGUGAGUAACACGGGGAUAACCUACCUAUAAGACUGGGAUAACUUCGGGAAACCGGAGCUAAUACCGGAUAAUAUAUUGAACCGCAUGGGUCAAUAGUGAAAGACGGUUUUGCUGUCACUUAUAGAUGGAUCCGCGCCGCAUUAGCUAGUUGGUAAGGUAACGGCUUACCAAGGCAACGAUGCGUAGCCGACCUGAGAGGGUGAUCGGCCACACUGGAACUGAGACACGGUCCAGACUCCUACGGGAGGCAGCAGUAGGGAAUCUUCCGCAAUGGGCGAAAGCCUGACGGAGCAACGCCGCGUGAGUGAUGAAGGUCUUCGGAUCGUAAAACUCUGUUAUUAGGGAAGAACAAAUGUGUAAGUAACUAUGCACGUCUUGACGGUACCUAAUCAGAAAGCCACGGCUAACUACGU
rnacentral:rRNA from 1 species